GGGCCCGUAGCUCAGCCAGGUAGAGCGGCGGGCUCUUAAGCCGCGGGCGGAUGUCCCGGGUUCGAAUCCCGGCGGGCCCGCCA
rnacentral:tRNA from 1 species